rnacentral:lncRNA from 1 species
UGUGUUACAGAGAACUUAAUACAGCACAGGGAGGAGAGACACACUGCCGCAGCAGGAGCCCUGGACUUCCCUGAACUCUCCACUGGUGGGCGCCCCCAGCCUACUAACAGAAAAAACAGAUUAAAAAAGACAGAAACACACACACAAGUUGAAAACACCACACACAGCCUAAACAUCAAUCAACCACACACACCCACACGGGACUACAGGUUGAGCCCAGUACAGGGCACACACAACACAAACAAAACACCAACCUACAGUAGUGUUGUGCUGAAUGGGGUACCUCAGUCUCGAGGUCGGGCACCGGGGCCCCUCCCUGGCAGAGGGGGGACCCAACAGCCCAUAAGGGAGAGACUUUCAUCAUCGGUCCCCCCGCACGGUGCCACUCGUGUCUCUCCUCCUCCCCUUCUCCUCAGGGUCAACAUACAAAAACACAAACAGACUAACUCACUACCCACUUCCCCUAACAGGCAAGGCCCCCGGAGGACACAAGACGCCACGGCCCCCUGGAUUUGCUGUCAGCCUGAAAAGAACAAAAACACCCUCUUCCAUAAAACAAACAUUAAUCAGGACACCCAUCCUCGCAGUAGCACACCUACCUGCACUGCUGGUGAACUCGGCCUGGUGGCAGUGGCAGAGGGCACCGUAGACACCUUGGUGCCCCUCAACUCGGUCCGCACUGACCGGGAGGCUGCGUCCCCAGCCACGGUGGCGGCUCCUCAGCUUAACGGGGUAACUGAAAACAAUACAGGGGUAGAAAUGAUGAGAGAACAAGGUCACAAAGUCCAAAUGACAGACCCUCAUUACAACUCUGACCUCCCCUCAGAACAUCCUAACUCACACCAGCUGGGAGCACGCGCCAAGGUCUUCGCUCCUCCCACCAGAGUUGCAGAUACGAGCCUGACCCUUGAACCCACCUGCCACCGGGCUGGCAGUAGCCGUAAACUAAAAGACUGGGAAUUUAAAAGUAACAAACCAAUACUCAUACUGGGUGAUUCAAACAUCAAUAGAAUCCCCAAAUUUUCACAUCAGGACAUUCAGGCUGACAGCUAUCCAGGGGCCAUUUUGUACCAGUUUGGCAGAAUUUUAGAAAAAACACCAGCCAACAAGGAGACAAAGGUGGUGAUCCUCUCGGUGGGCAUUAAUAACCGGGACAAAGAGCCACAUAAAACAUCUCUCAAACAGUUGAGACAUAUGCUGAGAAUGGCCAGCUCGACCUUCCCAAAUGCAGACCUCAGGGUCCCGGUGAUUAAUUACUCAUCAGAGUUACCUACACAAACACAACCUGAGAAGGUUAUGGUGAUUAUUUUUCAUGACCUUAGCACGUCAGUAGAAAGUUACACAAGAAGCAUCAUGAAAAAUAAUCACCAUAACCUUCUCCCCGUAUUUUGUUAA